rnacentral:rRNA from 1 species
UACGAAGGGGGCUAGCGUUGCUCGGAAUCACUGGGCGUAAAGGGUGCGUAGGCGGGUCUUUAAGUCAGGGGUGAAAUCCUGGAGCUCAACUCCAGAACUGCCUUUGAUACUGAGGAUCUUGAGUUCGGGAGAGGUGAGUGGAACUGUGAGUGUAGAGGUGAAAUUCGUAGAUAUUGGGAAGAACACCGGUGGCGAAGGCGGCGCUCUGGACCGAGACUGACGCUGAGGCGCGAAAGCGUGGGGAGCAAACAGG